rnacentral:rRNA from 1 species
AGCAGCCGCGGUAAUUCCAGCUCCAAUAGCGUAUAUUAAAGUUGUUGCAGUUAAAAGCUCGUAGUUGAAUUUCGGGAUCAGUAGGUCGGUCAUGCCUCAGGUAUGUACUGGUCUCACUGGUUCCUCCUUCCUGAUGAACCGUAAUGCCAUUAAUUUGGUGUUGCGGGGAAACUGGACUGUUACUUUGAGAAGAUUAGAGUGUUUAAAGCAGGCUAACGCUUGAAUACAUUAGCAUGGAAUAAUGAAAUAGGACGUUCGAUCCUAUUUUGUUGGUUUCUAGGAUUGACGUAAUGAUUAAUAGGGAUAGUUGGGGGCAUUAGUAUUCAAUUGUCAGAGGUGAAAUUCUUGGAUUUAUUGAAGACUAACUACUGCGAAAGCAUUUGCCAAGGAUGUUUUCAUUAAUCAAGAACGAAAGUUAGGGGAUCGAAGACGAUCAGAUACCGUCGUAGU